rnacentral:rRNA from 1 species
CCGCCUGGGGACUACGACCGCAAGGUUGAAACUCAAAGGAAUUGACGGGGACCCGCACAAGCGUGGAACAUGUGGUUUAAUUCGAUGCAACGCGAAGAACCUUACCUGGGCUUGACAUGUACAGUGAAAGCUUUGUGAAAGCAGAGCUCUCUGCGAGCUUGCUCAAGGACACUGUCACAGGUGGUGCAUGGCUGUCGUCAGCUCGUGUCGUAAGAUGUUGGGUUAAGUCCCGCAACGAGCGCAACCCUUGUCCUUAGUUGCCAGCACAUAAUGGUGGGGACUCUAAGGAGACUGCCUGGGAUAACCAGGAGGAAGGUGGGGAUGAUGUCAAGUCAGUAUGUCCCUUAUGCUCAGGGCUACACACGUGUUACAAUGGCCGGUACAAAGGGUCGCCAACCCGCGAGGGGGAGCUAAUCCCAAAAAACCGGUCUCAGUUCAGAUUGGAGUCUGCAACUCGACUCCAUGAAGGAGGAAUCGCUAGUAAUCGUAGAUCAGCACGCUACGGUGAAUACGUUCCCGGGUCUUGUACACACCGCCCGUCACGCCAUGGAAGU